rnacentral:rRNA from 1 species
GUUUGAUCCUGGCUCAGAUUGAACGCUGGCGGCAUGCCUAACACAUGCAAGUCGAACGGAAACGAUGCUAGCUUGCUAGCAGGCGUCGAGUGGCGGACGGGUGAGUAAUGUAUAGGGAUCUGCCUAGUAGUGGGGGACAACAUGUGGAAACGCAUGCUAAUACCGCAUACGCUCUACGGAGGAAAGUGGGGGACCUUUCGGGGCCUCAUGCUACUAGAUGAACCUAUAUUGGAUUAGCUUGUUGGUAAGGUAAUGGCUUACCAAGGCGACGAUCCAUAGCUGGUUUGAGAGAAUGAUCAGCCACACUGGGACUGAGACACGGCCCAGACUCCUACGGGAGGCAGCAGUGGGGAAUAUUGCACAAUGGAGGAAACUCUGAUGCAGCAAUGCCGCGUGUGUGAAGAAGGCCUUAGGGUUGUAAAGCACUUUCAGACGUGAGGAAAAGUAAUAAUUUAAUAAAUUAUUGCCUUGACGUUAACGUCAGAAGAAGGACCGGCUAACUCCGUGCCAGCAGCCGCGGUAAUACGGAG